rnacentral:tRNA from 1 species
GCGGGUGUAGUUCAAUGGUAGAACAUCAGCUUCCCAAGCUGAGAACGCGGGUUCGAUUCCCGUCACCCCGUC